rnacentral:rRNA from 1 species
GACGAACGCUGGCGGCGUGCCUAAUACAUGCAAGUCGAACGCAGUGGGGCCGGGUGAGUAACACGUGGGUAACCUGCCCAUCAGAGGGGAUAACACUUUGAAACAGGGUCUAUACCGAUACUGAUGGAUGGACCCGCGGUGCAUUAGCUAGUUGGUGAGGUAGCGGCUCACCAAGGCCACGAUGAAUAGCCGACCUUGGCGGGUGAUCGGCACCUCUGGGACGGAGACACGGCCCAGACUCCUACGUGAGGCAGCAGUAGGGAAUCUUCGGCAAUGGACGAAAGUCUGACCGAGCAACGCCGCGUGAGUGAAGAAGGUUUUCGGAUCGUAAAACUCUGUUGUUAGAGAAGCGGUAUCUAACCAGAAAGCCACGGCUAACUCCGUGCCAGCAGCCGCGGUAAUAC